GAGAAGGAGACUCCACACCCCCUCCCCGGGCCUGUUCCAGUGCUCUGUCACCCUCAUUGUGAAAAGGUUUUGUCUCAUGUUUAAGUGGAACCUCCUAUGUUCCAGGUUACACCCGUUGCCCCUUGUCCUAUCAUUGGCAGGCUCCACCCUUCCAACA